AAGACUGAAACUUAAGUAUAUUAUUCUACAAAGAAUCAGAAGUAUGUCUCACUCAUGUGAGGCUCAUACAUCAGGGAUAUUCCUAUACAGUUACAUUCAAGCCAGUACUAACUUUUGCUACUCUACAGCUCAAAAAAAAACUUCUGCUACUCUAGGGGUUUUUAAAUAUUGAUGACAGUGAUUCUUGUGCUCAGAUUAUCCAAUGAUUAUGUUUUAAGUUGUGUGAUGUGAUUGUUGUCGAUGCAAAGAUCAAACAAAAUGCUCAUGCCGGCCAAAAAUAAGGGAAGAUUAUCCUCCAUGUCUGAGAGAUUUCACUGGAAGCAUCUAUGAUCAUGUAUGUUUGCUGAUGCUGGUCAUUUUCAAGCUGCAACCAUGUGUUGUUAUAAUAUGUUAAGAGUUGCGGCGAAAUUUGAUGGCCUCCAAUCAGGAAUGAAAAUUUUCAUCAUAUGUGCCUGCAUCUAGGUGGCAAGGAAUACAAAGAGAAAAAGCAUGAAGACGAUUUAUAUUAUAUUGAGAAUAAAACAUAUGGUGGGUGUAUGAUUGAGAUGAACGAGGUAUGGCAGAUUAGGCCAGCCAUUGAUCAUACUGACACUAUUCUUCUCGAGGGAAGAGCCUAAGGUAAGUAAGUUAUGUGUGCUCUCACUUUCUCCAUGCUUUGCUAGAAUUUUUUUAUACUUAUGGUUGGUUUGGAUUAUGUGUGUUUCCGUUUGAGCCUAGAAGAGAUCUGGUUCGUGUGGUAGUAAUGGAGAGUUGGUGUCCAUUUCUUUGCAGGAGGAAGAUCAAGGUAAUAAGAAAAUUAUCCUCCGCUUCUAUGAUAAUUAGUCAGAAAAUAGUUAGUCAUUAUCUGACCAGGUUGGUAAAAUUAACAGUAAAUGCUCAAUAGCGAAUACACCAAUAUAGUCACUUAUAUGUUAAAAGUUAAAUAGUUCAGAGGUGUGACUAAAUAGCAAGGAAGGUACCCCUUUAAGCCAACACAGAGUGGAGAAUAAUGAAUAAAAAGCCAGAACUGCAUGUUGGAUAUUUUAUUACCUUUUUAUCCUUUAAUAUGUGAUAUAUGGAUGCAACAGCAGCUAGAACAGUAAGUAGAGUAGACUGUUCAAUCUGAUAAAUUCAUGAAAGUAGGUAAUUGAGAGUACAAGUUCCUGACGACAAAGAACUAGAUGGUUCAACUGUAUCACAGGUUGAACAAAAUAGUACUCCCUCUGGGACAUCAAGCAUGCUCAUGACUUGGAUUUAAACGACCCCUUUGGAUGUUCAUAUUCAAACUGCCUCUACUGUGCACUUAACUUUCAGUGUUAAUAUUACAUAGGCUUAAACACUAUUAUUUCUUCCAUUCUGUAUCUUUAGACUACUUUGCCGGUUAUCUGUCAUUUACAUGUAUCUUUCCUUCUCUCUUUUUGGGGACAUUAUCUUUUUUCUUGCUUUCCCAAUGGCAAGAUUUCGUGGAGUUUAGUUAGCUGUAAAUCUCAUGGAUGUUGUGUGUCCGAUGAACAUACGGUGAUUGCGCCAGUUCAGUUGGCGGUGCUGAAACUUUUGCUGAAUUGGAUUGAGCAUGCCUGCUGGUGGUUGCUGGCGGCGGCCAAGCAAGCAAGGUGCUCAUUCACCUCGGUACUGCUGCUGAGCAUGGAGAGAAAUCUGCCGCCAAGAAGCUCGAGCAAACAGACAGCCUGACCAGGAACUCCUUGUGCAGGUGCCAUUGUGAAAAUAAGGUCCUUACUUCUUACGAUCAGAUGCUGAUGUAAAAUUCCAGUGAUCAGAAAUUGUGAGCCUAUUGGUCGAUAAAUCUAGACGAAACUUACUUGAUGCUUGUGCAUAAAUAUCAGAAAUUUUGCUUCUUGCUAAAAAGGUGCUCAGUACAAACGUUCAGGUUCAAUAUAAGAUAUCUUUUUUUUUCUCCGAGCAGCCUAUAUCAGCUAUCUUGAGGAGAGCGGCUAAUUUUUGGUGUGCAGGUUUCUGAUGGCUUUCACAAGUUAAACAAGAAUCUUGGAUGUAGCCCAUGAAUCGGUUAGUUGGUCAUGCUUCACUAUUCAUAGGUGACACAUGUGUCCUUGGUCUAGGAUGUUAAAUAAUUCCAGUUCCAAUUAGUUUUCACAUGGUAAUGCUAAUAGAUAAAAACUGCUGGCUCCUUUUCAGAGGCCAUCUCAAUAUCCCUUCCACACAUAUAGAAUGUAUCCUUAGAGACUGAGUCUGAAUUCACCGAAGCUAAGCAAUCCACUGGGUACUAUGGGUUAGAUGAAAAUGUCUAUAUCCAUUUGGACUUCCAGGUCUACGACAAUCUGAUGGACUGCCUGUGGAUUAUUAUGUUUUGUUCUGGGUACUGAUCUCUCACAAUCGUUCACUCCUGUUUGAUGUUUGUAAAUAAUGUAACAACUAGCUCUGUUGUGAACCCAAAUGGGACCAUGCAUUCGUUCCUA